rnacentral:tRNA from 1 species
GCCGGGGUCGCCUAGCCUGGUUAAUAUCUAUUGAGAUAGCCAAGGGGCGAUGGGUUGCUAACCCAUUGGCCGAAAGGCCGCCCGGGUUCGAAUCCCGGCCCCGGCGCCA